UGAGUCGGCCAGACAAUCGCUGUGAUGGCUUCACCGCCAUCAGGGAGGAAAGUCCGGGCUCCACAGAGCAGGGUGCCAGGUAACGCCUGGGAGGCGCGAGCCUACGGAAAGUGCAACAGAAAGCAUACCGCCUGCCCCUUCUCUUUUGAGGCGGGGCCGGUAAGGGUGAAAUGGUGCGGUAAGAGCGCACCGCAUGGGUGGUAACACUCCAUGGCAUGGCAAACCCCACCCGGAGCAAGGCCAAAUAGGAAUCCACUGGUGUGGCUCGCACUGGAUUCGGGUAGGCUGCUUGAGCGGCGCGGUGACGCGUACGCCAGAUGAAUGAUUGUCCUAGACAGAACCCGGCUUAUCGGCUGACUCACCUA
rnacentral:RNase_P_RNA from 1 species